rnacentral:lncRNA from 1 species
AGAUAUGUCUAUAGGAAGAGAUUUAUUUAUUAUGAGGAAUUGUCUCAUGCUAUGGUAGAGACAGAAUUCCCACAAUCUGCCAUCUGCAAGAUGGAGACAUAGGAAAACCAGUGAUGUAAUUCUAGUCCAAGAUCAAAUGCCUGAGACCCAGGGUAGCUGAUAUGUAGACCAGUCCAAGGGCAGGAGAAUACAGAUGUCACACUUCAAAUAAGACCUCCCUUUUCUUUUAUUCUAUUCAGACCCUCAGUGAAUUAGAUAGUGCUCACUCCUAUUAGAGGCGGGCCAUCUACUUGAUAGAAUAUACUGAUCUAAAUGCUAAUAUCAGCCAGGAACACCCUGGGAGACACAUUCAGAAAUAAUGUUUAACCUGAGCAUCUUAUGGCCUGGUCAAAUUAAAACAACAGAAAAGUAACCAUCAAGUCUAUUCCCCUUUCACUGACUCAAUAUGGAUUUGAAAAUUCUACCAACAGUAGCAACCAAUUUUCCCCACAUUUUGGUUAAAAUAUGCAAACCAAACCUGGCAUUCUGUUAAAAUGUUAUGUACAAGUUCAGUCUGCUAGAGUGGUGGGCAUGUUUAUUUGGGGCAGAGAACAAUUGCAUUGCCUUAUAAGUCACACUGAAGCUGUUUUUUGCUGGUUGUACAUGUCUGUUGUCCUAUGUGCUAUUCUGUUGUCCUAUUAGCCCGCUCCUGGACCAAGACUGUUAUCACUGGACAAAACAGAAAACAUUAGCAUCAAAGAGUUGGAAAGAACCUGGAAAAUAUCUAGAUUCUAGUAUAUCACUCUAUCGGGUGUUUCACUCUCUUCUACAUCCCCAGAGCAAAUGUUUGUCCCACCAUACUUGAGCACAGCCUCUUGAAGCAAAAAGUCCUUUGUUCUGUCAGCUCUGAUGAUGACUAUGGAUCAUUCUUUUAUACUUUGAGUCCAAAUGGGCCUCCCAUUUGGCUUCUUUUCUUUUUCUGUAAAGAACUCUCACUAUGCAUGCAGAACCAGUUCAAGAACAGCUUUUGCACUUCAGUGCAGUCCUCUCAUUAACACCUUAGCUCUGAGGUCAACUCUGCAGGAAAAGAAUUGGGCUCAAUUACCAUUAGUUAUUCUAAUGUGAACAAUGCUUUAGGCAUAGGGAAAUUAUCAAAUGAACUUACAGUCAGGAGAAAUCUCCAAAUUGCUACUCACACGGAAAUGCAUGAUGCUGGCAUGGCUGUUGAGCUUGAAUGGCUCCCAGCAGGAAUCUUCUGCUGCUUUGGUUUUUUUCAGAAAUUUCCUUUUGUUUUUUGCAGCAACACAACAGAGUGCAUCCUUGGCUCCCUCCUGGGAGCGUAGCAAGUGGUGUUCAUAUGAAUGUGUCUGUCCUUGGCACCUGACUUCAAGAAGGUGUGAAUGCAGGAGUAGUUCUGAACAACCCAGAACUCCCUGGAGAGUAGGAGAGGCAGAUAGAGUAUCAGUGUAGAGCUUACUCAUGUGGAAAGGUGGAAGAACUUUGAGUAGGGAGAAUUAAAACUGAGGCUACACUGAAAAACCCUUUUGAAACCUUCUAUUGGAACCCUGCUGAUCUCAGUGGUGUCCAGAUACGCUCAAACUACUUCACGCCUCACCUCUGACACUCUGAGUCCAAGAGGCUGGUAUCUUGUGCCAAAAAGCCUAGUUGGUCUGAAACUCUUGGUAAAUAUGAGACCAUCAUUAUCCAUCUUUAGCAGCUCAUGCUGGGGCCAUCUGUGCCUUUUAACAGCUCACUGUUUACAGUGUAAAAGAUGGAUGUCUUAGUCCUAGAGGGACUUAAUUCUAUCGGUUUGUGGAUUUUUUUUUUUUUUUUAGUUGUUUUGUUUUUGUUUUUGAUUUUUUUCUACCAAGUCAGCCUUAGGCCAAAUUGGAAAGUAGAAGAUCAACAAUACUUUACUUCUGCGUUACAUUUUAUAGGUAUUAAGGUAGUUUUACAUCUCUUACUUGAUUUUAUCAGGUACUCACAAACCAAGGAAGGCAAGGCUAGGUGCUCCCCUCCUGAAGUUUGUAGAAGAGCUGGCUGAACCACAGAGAGGCUAAGAAAGAUGCUCAAAAGCACACAAUAGGUUACAUGGAAUAGGGGAAUAUUUGCUUUCCUAGUCCACUAUUCUUUCCAGCUGGCCCCAUCUUUAGGCUUUACUCCCUUUUUCUUUCCUGGAGCUCUCUAUCCACUCAUCACCAGUUGUGAGGCCAGUCUAAACCACCAGGACAACUAGGCUCUGGAAAUUUAUGCCAAUGUAUCAUUUCUUUUAGCCUAUUAUCUGCUAACAAAUGAGUUGAAAAAAAAUACAGAUAUCUAAACAAAUGUUUCUAGAGCUAUUCCAUCAGGGAUACCCUUAAGAUAAUCUACAGACUCAAAUGCCUGAGGGACCAGGCAGGACAUACAAAUGAGUGGCAGUCAGUGCUAGGGAAUGGUGGGGACUGUGGCAAACUAGAGCUGUGCCUUGUCUAAAGGAUGUAGCCACUCUUCAGUGCCAACUCUCCAUGGCAUGGGGAACUGCAGGCUUGAUGCUGCCAGAUUGUCCCAUCUAGUCUUUCCUCCAUGAAAAACUGAACGUUUGGACUUCAAUGUGUGAUUUUCCUCUAUUUUAAAACAUUGUGCAAGCUCAUAAAAGAUAAAUGUGUGUGGAAUUGGGCACAUAGUUAGCCAGUUUUUGUCCUCUGUUCUGGAGAGACAGGGAGGAAGGCCUACUCUACUUGGCCUCCAUGCAACUCGAGUAGAUUAACAACCAGUCUGGGCACCAUUGUUUCAGAGGGAUAUAGACCAGCUAGAACAUAUUUAGAGACAAAAGAUCAUAGUGGCCAGAAGACUUGGACACAUAGGCGGAAAGGUGAAAGAACAAGAGAUAUUUAAUCUGGGUGAGAGAAUACUUUGGGCUGUCAAACAGAAGAUGGUAGAAAAUUAUAAUUCUGCACAGUCUUAAGGGUUACUUUUUUUUUUUUUUUUUUUUUGUCUUUUUGCCAUUUUCUUGGGCCACUCCCACGAUAUAUGGAGGUUCCCAGGCUAGGGGUCUAAUUGGAGCUGUAGCCACUGGCCUACUCGAUAGCCACAGCAACGCCGGAUCUGAGCCAUGCCUACAACCUACACCACAGCUCAUGGCAACACCAGAUCCUUAACCCACUGAGCAAGGCCAGGGAUCAAAACCCCCAACCUCAUGGUUCCCAGUUGGAUUCGUUAACCACUGAGCCAUGAUGGGAACUCCAAGGGUUACUUCUUAUAUCACACCACCCACUACAUCUUAGAUGGUAGGCGUGUCCCUUCCUUUCCUCCACACUCUACCCCCUUUUUAAACCAUACUUUAUGUAUUCAGGACAAAUGGCUUUAAUUUUUAAAAUGUUAAUGUUCCAGGGUAGGGGCAGGCAAAUGUUACUUAUAAAGAGCUAGAUGGCAAAUGUUUUGGGUCUCUGAGCCACAUAGGUCUCAACUGUGUAUUCUUUGUAGUUUCAUUUUGUUUUUCUAUUGUUUAUUAUUGUUUGUUAAUGUACAAACCAUUGUUAGCUCCUGGGCCUUAUAAAUACAAGUCCGCAGGCAGCUUUUGUUAUUUGCUGACCCCUGGCCCAGAUGGAGUGAAUAGUUAAACAAAUCAGCUGCAAUAUUCUUUUAGUUAUCUCAAAAUAGAAAUUUCUUUACCACAAAAAAUUUCCUUUACU